rnacentral:snoRNA from 1 species
CUUAUGGUAUGUGAAUUCUAUCUCAAUGAAAGAGUAAUGUUUAAGAAAAAUUAUCUGGCUCCCUCGGCGUCAUGUCUUUGGUGCCGGCGGCUUCUUGUCCACCGGUUCUAUCCUCAAGCACCGAGACACCU